rnacentral:tRNA from 1 species
GCCUGGGUGGCUCAGUCCGUUGAGCGUCUGACUUCGGCUCAGGUCAUGAUCUCACAGUGUGUGAGUUCGAGCCCCACAUCGGGUU